UGAGUUUCCAGAGACUUUGUCAAGUCAGCUGACUGCCUUGGCUCUUCUCCCAGUAACACGGUGUCCAAGUCACUUACUUCCACCACGAACACUAGCAGAACUGUCUUGGUGGAGCCUUAGGAAUUAAACGACCCUUGGAGAAUGAUCUGACCUCUCAAUUCCAAUGGUCUAAUUAUGGUAAAACAUUCUGAAAAUGUAACAUAUUAACCCUGUGGGCGGGGAAGCUCAAUUCUCCCUUUGGAAGGCGGAUUACUGUUUGGCUUUUAAAGAUGAAUUAAUUUCCCCAUGUUACUAGGCACACCUUAAUCACAGUCCAGGAGAUGAGGACAGAAGACUCUUGUUUGAGGCCGGCCUGAUGUGUGGAGCAAGACCUUGUGUGAUGAAAAGGAUGCCAUCUGGCCUCCAGGAGGAGCACACCAUGUCUGACGCUAAGCAAAGCACAGAUUGGUGGGAGGAUGGAAAUCUCUCGCUCUUUUCUCCUUCUGCCUUCUACAGAAACAGAAGUUUAAAUCUACCUCAAACCCAUGGCUGUGGAAUGCUCUCCGAUUCAUGUGAGGUUAGUCACUCAGAACGUCUUUUCAAACUUGCUUUAGUCAUGGUUUAUAUGGGAAAAUCAGAACUCUCUUGGCAUAUGCAUGACAAGGUAUUUCCAGAAUUUUCCAACUUCCCAUAAAUAUGUAAGAUCUUGUAGGGGAAAACACUUAAAACUCACUGCAAGGUGUUCAGGAUUGGAAACACGCUAUUUCCAGCACCACAGCCAACCUAAAAUUGAGAAUAAACAAAUGUGAACGCAUUGCAUUUCACUCCCAAUACUGGGUUUUCUAUUUAAGAAAUAAACGAUUACUGGAUUUCUGGGUGUGGCAGAACUUGUGAAACUGGAUGAAACAAAGCACAGGAGUGACAAUCAAAGUUAGACUGCGGAAAUAUUCACAGUGUGAAUCCACCAAAGCCCCGCCCCCCCAACGCAAUCAACAAGUGAACAAUGCAUUUGGACACCACGGCAGCAAUGAAGCGCCUGCAGCAGCUAUGAUAAAGAGCAGGACUCAUAAAAUAGACAGCGAAGGGAAGGAACAGACAGAACACAAAUGAAGAACGUGUGGCUUCUCGGUGUUUGAAGAGCUGCGAGGCAUACUGAGUGGUGGGAACCGUGUAAACUGAAUCAGGGUAAGAGGGGCCUGGACCUCCAGGCCUGUAAUUUCGGAAGCUCAGGAGGCUGAGGCAAGAAGACUGAGCUACACAGUGAGUGUGAAGCCUGGGUAACUCAGAGAGACCCUGUCUCAAAAUGGGCUGGAUUGUAGAACCCUUGCCUAUAUGUGAAAGGCCCUUGGUUCAAACCCCAGUGUGUGUGUGUGUGUGUGUGUGUGUGUGUGUGUGUGUGUGUGUGUGUGUGUGAGAGAGAGAGAGAGAGAGAGAGAGAGAGAGUGUUUGUGUGUGUGAGAGAAUGAGAGAGAGAGAAUGAGAGAGAGAGAGAGAGAGAGAGAGAGAGAGAGCGAGCAUACGCUGGUCUCGAACACGUCUGAUACUCUUGUUUCUGCCUCCUGUGUGCACGUGCUACCACACUUGUGGUAUUGUAAAGUUUAAAACAGACUCUGCUUUAGAAGCUCUAAAAAGUCUCCAAAUAUUAUAAACUAGUCAACUUAACCCAAGACGGGACAAGGAAAUGCAGGUAAAGUCUAUACCAAAGACACCUGCUGAGAAAACAAUUAAAUGCAGUACCAUGACAGCAGGUAAGUGAAAUUAUAACAUCCCAUUCACAGAAGACUGUGCAGCCACAAGGAUGUUUACAGAGGACAGGUAAAGGUGGAAAACUGCUGUGAGAUGACGUGAAAUGAACAACACAAAGCCUCAAGGUUCAGGCAUUGCCUAAACCAAAGCAGAAAGGGGGUGAGAUAGGUCCUUCCUGGGAUUGUGGGUAACUGCAUUUCUCUUACGUUCUCAUUAGCAAAUUCUCUGUAAUCAACAACUAUUAUCUUUAGGGUCAGAAAGAUGGGGUGGAAAACCGCCGUCUACACUAGAUUACAGCAAACUAAACACCUUGCUUAUUUUUAUUUCACCCCAAGCGGGGCAAGAACACAAGGCAAAAAUUUGGACUAAAAGUUUAUCAGGGCUUAAACACUGCCUCUAAGUCAGAAAUUACAACAAAUUAAGGGGGGAGGGAGAGUAACACAGAUGAAAUUAAAGCCACAAACUUAAACUUGACUGAUUAAAGACAGGAGUCCCUGAAGUAUUGUUUAUGCACGUAAGCACACGGAGCAUUUAAUUAGAUCGGAUCUUUCCACCUGGACAGUCUGGACCAUUCAUAAAAUAGUGUGGGCUGCACACUUUCUACUGUUACUUCCUGUCUUGUCCCCCAGGCACGGUACCUCUAGUAUUCGAAAAGUAGCCUUGCUACCAGGAAACUGCUCUGCCUUCCUGGGUCCUCUGCUGUAUUCUUCCAAGUCAGGGUUAGAAGCAGACCUUUCUCUGCUCCCAGGUUCUGAUGAGACAAAAGUCUCUUGUCGGUGGGUUUCUGUUCCUUGCGUUCUUGAGAUGCUGCUUCUGGCUGGGUCCCAGGAUGAUUCUCCCAGUUUCUCUUUAGUGUUCUGAUCAACGGGAAGAAUUUCAGGAAAUUCCCUCAACAGCCAAUUACGAUUCUUGAAAAACUUAUUCUUAUGGGUUUGGUAAAAAGUGUCCCAGUAUUUGUUAGCAGCAUUUUCAAACUUAACUAAAACAAAGAGGAAAAAAAAUUCCAUUUUAUUAUGAGUCCUAUUUACUAUUGACUGGUAUUUUGAUAACUAAAUAUCUUCAGUAAUUAAAUAUUUAAGCCAAGUGUUGUGGUGCACACAUUUAAUCCCAGUACUUGAGAGGCAGAGGCGGACAGUUUCUCUGAGUUCAAGACCAACCUUAUUUACAGAGUGAGUUUCAGGACAACCAGGGCUACACAGAGAAACACUGUCUCAAAGUAAAAUAAAAAGUAUCAGUAAAAUUACUGUAAAUAUAUCACAUAUUGCAGUUUGAAUGAAAAUGGCCCCCCUAUGCGCAUAAGGAGUGGCAUUAUUUGAAAGAAUUCGGAUUUGUGGUCUUGCUGGAGUAGGUGUGGCCUUAAUGGGGAAAGUAUGUCACUGAGAGUGAGCUUUGAGGCUUCAGAGGCUCAAGCCAGGCUCAGCGUCGUCACUCUUCCUUCCUGCUGCCUGCUGAUGUAGAACUCUCAGCUCCUACUCCAGCACCAUGCCUGCCUGCACACUGCCAUGCUUCCCACCAUGAUCAUAAUGGACUGAGCCUCUGAGAUUGUAAGCCUGCCCCAACUAAAUGCUUUCCUUUAUUGAGAGUUGCUGUGGUCAUGGUGUCUCUUCACAGCGGUAGAACACUGACUAAGACAUAUAUAUAUAUUUAUCAAGAAUUGCAUUUCAACUUAAUAACUUUAAUAUUAUAACAAUUUUACUUACCUGAUAUAAGGCUAAAAAUACAAAAGUUCAUCUUAUCUUCCUCAAAAGAUUAAUAUGCAAGAUAUUUAGACCCACUCUUAAAAAUCUGCUUUUCUGUCAAUAGUUGGCCAUUUUGUGAGGAAUAGAAUAACUGAGAAUUACUUUCUGCAGCCUAGUUUUGAAUAUAUAUAUAUAUAUAUAAAGAUAGGAUCUCACCAUGCAGCUUUGGCUGGCCUGGAACUUGCUCGUAGACCAGGCUAGUCUCAAACUAUAGAGAUCUGCUUUUUUCUGCCUCUCAAGUGCUGAGACUAAAGGCAUGCAUGUGUUAAUAUACUUGGACCAACAAACAUUUUUAAUCCGUUUUUUUUUAUUUUCUUAGAGAAAGUACCCCACCCCAGUCUCUACACAUGCACUUUAAAUAUGAGAAAUGCUUACUGGCGAUCAGAAAAGAAUGUGGGAAUUAUAAAUUUCAUGACUUUAGAGCAAGGGGGCUCAAUGAGACUGUUUACUCUGACUGAGUUCCUAGUUUUACAUUUGAAGAAAGGAGCUGAAGUUGCUUACAGAGGCCACACCAUAACUUCAUCCCCCACUGCAACCCCAAAUCCAGAGGGAUCUCUCUCUACCACUCUCCUAAUGGGAGUCUCCAAGAGAAUUAUUGAUGCUUUCUGGAACAUCAGGCCUUAGUGAGUGAUGUCAUUCUAAGGAUUAAGGCGCCACAGUUUGGUCAAUGGUCUCAGCAGUCCUUAGGCUCCUGCUUCUCCUCAUCUCUAUCUUGCAUUAACAAAAUGAUUCAGGCCAAGCAACACAGGCCUGUAAUCUAACACUUGAGAGCCUGAGGCAGGAGGAUCAUGAGUUAGAAAUAGCCUGAAACACACAGAGAACGUGAAACCAGUCUGGACUAUGUCACAGAACUCUUGCCUCAGGUAAACUGUGGUAACAUGUAUCUUUACGAUUAGUACUGUGAGAUAGAAGGAGGUUCACAAGUUCAAACAAAAACCAAAUGAGUGAAUGAGCCAGUUAAUUAAAUAAAAUAAUUUGCUCACUCUGUCUUUCAUUCAACAACCAUUUCUUGACUCCAUUUAUGUGUAACAAGGUUAAUCCUUGGGCUUAAUCCAUGGAUUAAGAGUCCCCCUUACCCUAAUAGACAGGCUCAUGAUAUUUUAAAAGUGCAUUCAAAGUCUGUGAAGGCUUCCUAAUGGGUUUGUAACGAUUUCAGGGUCAGUGUUGGAGGAAAGUAAGGCAUAGGGCAGUGUGUAUACUACACCAUUCACUAGAAAGAAGGAGGAAGAGAAAAAAUGCAUGUGUACACAAACACGCAGGAGCAUGUGUGUGCAGAUAUAAAACCGCACCAGGCAUGGUGGCUUAAGCCUGUAAUCCCAGCACUGGGUAGCCUGAGGCACACAACUGUCAUGAGUUCAAGGUCAGCCUGGGUACAAAUUGGGACACUGCCUCAAGCAAAUGAAUAAAUAUAGAACAACAAAAGCAAACAAGCAGAUUUUAAA